UGUGUCUAUGCAUAUGUCUGUCUGUCUGUCUUUCUGUCUAUCAUUCCAUCCAUUCGUUUUUCUCACCAUCUGUCUAUCUGUGUUAUCGGUUUUCUCUUUUUCAGAAUGGAGAAGUACUGUCAACUAGCUGGGAAGAGUACGUUGUGUCACGUCGGUCCAGUAGUGUGUUGAAAAUGGGGGUGAUGCCAGAGGACAAUCAUGCUGUGCUGUGGUGCGAGAGCGUUAACCAAGUGUCACGUUCACCAAUUUCCCUUACUCGCACUGUCAUCCUCCUUUGGGAUAAUAGUGGGAUGAUGACAAUGUCUAACCUGAUGCAUAAAGUGUCAAGUGAGGAGACGUACGUCUUUUCUGACUUGUGAAGGCAACCACUUCUCUAGGGUUCGUGCUGAAGAGCUCACUGUUUAAUAACAAUAAAGUUGUGCAGACUGCAUCGAAGCAGGUGUUUUCACAGCGUGGUGUGUCACGAGAGCUACUUCUCAUCCUCCAGCCCAGCCAUAAUCUUGCCACCUACUGCUUCGACUCCUGCAACAAAGCCAAUAAAGUUCAGUACAGCCAUUUUAAAAUGUAUAUAAUUAGAAAUGUUUCUUGAGCAGCAAAUGAGCAUCUUAGAAUGAUUUUUGCAGGAUCGUGUAAUCAUAAAGAAUGGAGUAAUGGCUCCUGGAAUAAAAUUUUAUUUUUUUAUAUAAAACAUCUAUUUUUAAUUGUAAUAAUAUUUCACAGUAUUACAGUUCUUAAAGGAUUUUUUGAUCAAAUAAAAUAUAUGCAGCCUUGGUGAGCAUAAAAUGGAUUAGCGUCCUUAAACAUUUAAAUGGUGUUUAA